ensembl:lncRNA
AAAAAAUCAUCAAAUAUUUAUAUUUUAUAUUAUCUAAGCUUAAUAUUAAAUAUGAAAGAUAUUUUUAAUAGUUUUGGUUUUCAGUUAAGGUUAACCACCCUGCUUUAAACGUGCACACAACUCAAGAGCUCAUUAGAAUAUUCAGCAGCUGAUGCCGCGAAUGCCUGUCAGCCAAUCACAGGCUGCUUUACUCUUUCUCUUUCAGUAAAGGUUUUGCAUUCUCAGCACACUUGAAUAAACGAGACGCACCUUCUUCAGACCUGUUUGAACGCAGAGAUUCAUGAAGCACCAGCAGAAUGAUUGCUGAUUGUCAGUUCUGACCCAAACCGUCACAAUCAAUUCAAGGCAACAAUUAACUUAAGGAUCUCGACGAGGGAUGGUCUGAGUGUUUCCACGCCUCGGCUGAUAGGAAAAGACCUCCAUGAAGACUCCUGAAUGACAUCAGACGUCAAUGAGACAAAGUCAGAUCAACAACAUAUUAAAGGGGUCGUAUGAUGCUGAUAAAAAGAACAUUAUUUUGUGUAUUUGGUGUAAUGCAAUGUGUUUAUGCGGUUUAAGGUUAAAAACACAUUAUUUUCCACAUAAUGUACAUUAUUAUUUCUCCUCUAUGCCCCGCCUUCUGAAACGUGUAGAUUAUUACAAAGCUCAUCAGUCUAAAAAGCGAGGUGUGCUCUGAUUGGCCAGCUAUCCAGUGCGUUGUGAUUGGCUGAAUGCCUCAAGCGUGUGACGGAAAUGUUACGCCCCUCACUACACUGUGAUGUGUCCCGGAGCGACGAGACAAGACCAAUAAAACCCAUUACAAACGAGGCAUUUGUUGCAUCCAGUGGGGACAUAAUUACUGAUUAUAAUGACUUAUACUGUCUUUUUACGUGUUGCGUUGUGUAUUGCGCUGCGUAAACACAAAACCAUGUCAUUUUAGAAACUUACUGUAUAAAGAACAACAUUUUCUCCUCCAUCCCUGAUACUUUGGAACCUCUUCAGCCCCAACAGAUCCACUAAAGAUGCCAUCUCUCACGUCCUGCACUCUUCUCUCACACACAUUGACACCAAUAACAGGAACUAUGUAAGGCUGCUAUUUAUCGACUAUAGCUCAGAUUUCAAUACUAUAGUUCCCAUAAAGCUAGCUUCUAAACUCAUGGACCUCAGACUAAAUUCUUCACUCUGUGACUAGAUUCUUGAUUUCCUCACCGGCAGACCUCAAGUGGUGAAGGUAGGCCAGUACACCUCCAGCUCCAUCACCCUGAAUGUAGGAGCCCCACAGGGCUGUGUCCUGAGUCCCCUGCUCUUCUCUCUCUACACACA